UGCCGCUGAUGACUCCUAUUUGCUACUCUUGACGGCCAGGAUGACGAGCUAGCAUACCACCAAUACUUAUUCUGAGGCA